rnacentral:rRNA from 1 species
GACGAACGCUGGCGGCGUGCUUAACACAUGCAAGUCGAACGGUAAGGCCCUUCGGGGUACACGAGUGGCGAACGGGUGAGUAACACGUGGGUGAUCUGCCCUGCACUUCGGGAUAAGCCUGGGAAACUGGGUCUAAUACCGGAUAGGACCACUGCCUGCAUGGGUGGUGGUGGAAAGCUUUUGCGGUGUGGGAUGGGCCCGCGGCCUAUCAGCUCGUUGGUGGGGUGAUGGCCUACCAAGGCGACGACGGGUAGCCGGGCUGAGAGGGUGACCGGCCACACUGGGACUGGGAGACGGCCCAGACUCCUACGGGAGGCAGCAGUGGGGAAUAUUGCACAAUGGGGGCAAGCCUGAUGCAGCGACGCCGCGUGAGGGAUGACGGCCUUCGGGUUGUACACCUCUGUCAGCACAGACGAAGCGCAAGUGACGGUAUGUGCAGAAGAAGGACCGGCCAACUACGUGCCAGCCGCCGCGGUAA